AAAUUAGUGGGAUAAUCCUUACCUGUUCCUCGUUUUGGAGGACAGGUAGAACAUAAUAACUGGAGUUUGCAUGAUCCGUGAUUAAUGUCUCUGUGUAACCGGGACUUGCAAACUCUUGAUUGUUCGUAUCUGAU
ensembl:snoRNA U8 U8 small nucleolar RNA